GCGGGCGUGGUGAAAUUGGCAGACACGCAGGAUUUAGGUUCCUGUGGGGAAACCCGUGGGGGUUCAAGUCCCUCCGCCCGCACCA
rnacentral:tRNA from 5 species